rnacentral:rRNA from 1 species
AGUCGAGCGGUAGCACGGAGAAACUUGUUUCUUGGGUGACGAGCGGCGGACGGGUGAGUAACGCGUAGGAAUCUACCUAGUAGAGGGGGACAACAUGUGGAAACGCAUGCUAAUACCGCAUACGCCCUAAGGGGGAAAGGAGGGGACUCUUCGGAGCCUUCCGCUAUUAGAUGAGCCUGCGUGAGAUUAGCUAGUUGGUAGGGUAAAGGCCUACCAAGGCGACGAUCUCUAACUGGUCUGAGAGGAUGACCAGUCACACUGGGACUGAGACACGGCCCAGACUCCUACGGGAGGCAGCAGUGGGGAAUAUUGGACAAUGGGCGCAAGCCUGAUCCAGCCAUGCCGCGUGUGUGAAGAAGGCCUUAGGGUCGUAAAGCACUUUCAGGGGUGAGGAAGGGCGUUCGGUUAAUACCCAGAUGUCUUGACGUUAGCCCCAGAAGAAGCACCGGCUAACUCUGUGCCAGCAGCCGCGGUAAUACAGAGGGUGCAAGCGUUAAUCGGAAUUACUGGGCGUAAAGCGCGCGUAGGUGGUUUGUUAAGUCGGAUGUGAAAUCCCAGGGCUCAACCUUGGAAUGGCACCCGAUACUGGCAGGCUAGAGUAUGGUAGAGGGGUGUGGAAUUUCCUGUGUAGCGGUGGAAUGCGUAGAUAUAGGAAG